UACGGAGGGUGCAAGCGUUAUCCGGAUUCACUGGGUUUAAAGGGUGCGUAGGAGGGCAGGUAAGUCAGUGGUGAAAUCUCCGGGCUUAACCCGGAAACUGCCGUUGAUACUAUCAAUCUUGAAUAUUGUGGAGGUAAGCGGAAUAUGUCAUGUAGCGGUGAAAUGCUUAGAUAUGACAUAGAACACCGAUAGCGAAGGCAGCUUGCUACACAAUUAUUGACACUGAGGCACGAAAGCGUGGGGAUCAAACAGG
rnacentral:rRNA from 1 species